GGGGAGGUCGCAUAGCCUGGUCGAGUGCGCCCGCCUGCUAAGUGGGUAAGGGUCAAUUAAAGAUCCUUCGCGGGUUCAAAUCCCGCCCUCCCCGCCA
rnacentral:tRNA from 1 species